rnacentral:siRNA from 1 species
AUCUUAGGCAUGUCAAUCACACU